GGGCCCGCACAAGCGGUGGAGCAUGUGGUUUAAUUCGAUGAUACGCGAGGAACCUUACCAGGGCUUAAAUGUAGUCUGACAGCUUUAGAGAUAGAGUUUUCUUCGGACAGAUUACAAGGUGCUGCAUGGUUGUCGUCAGCUCGUGCCGUGAGGUGUCAGGUUAAGUCCUAUAACGAGCGCAACCCCUGUCGUUAGUUGCCAGCAUGUCAUGAUGGGGACUCUAACGAGACUGCCGGUGCAAACCGUGAGGAAGGUGGGGAUGACGUCAAAUCAUCACGGCCCUUACGUCCUGGGCCACACACGUGCUACAAUGGCCAGUACAGAGAGCAGCCAAUGCGCAAGCAUGAAGGCGGAAUCGCUAGUAAUCGCGGAUCAGCAUGCCGCGGUGAAUACGUUCCCAG
rnacentral:rRNA from 1 species